AGUGAACGCUGGCGGUAGGCCUAACACAUGCAAGUCGAACGGCAGCACAGUAAUAGCUUGCUCUUACGGGUGGCGAGUGGCGGACGGGUGAGGAAUACAUCGGAAUCUACUUUUUCGUGGGGGAUAACGUAGGGAAACUUACGCUAAUACCGCAUACGACCUACGGGUGAAAGCAGGGGAUCUUCUGACCUUGCGCGAUUGAAUGAGCCGAUGUCGGAUUAGCUAGUUGGCGGGGUAAAGGCCCACCAAGGCGACGAUCCGUAGCUGGUCUGAGAGGAUGAUCAGCCACACUGGGACUGAGACACGGUCCAGACUCCUACGGGAGGCAGCAGUGGGGAAUAUUGGACAAUGGGCGCAAGCCUGAUCCAGCCAUACCGCGUGGGUGAAGAAGGCCUUCGGGUUGUAAAGCCCUUUUGUUGGGAAAGAAAAGCAGCAGGUUAAUACCCCGCUGUUCUGACGGUACCCAAAGAAUAAGCACCGGCUAACUUCGUG
rnacentral:rRNA from 1 species